GUGGACAGUGGCGGAAGGGUGAGUAACGCGUGGAUAACCUACCCUUGAGUUGGGGACAACAUUCCGAAAGGAGCGCUAAUACCGAAUGUGGUAACUUGUCGCAAGACAAGCUCACUAAAGACGGGGAUUCUUCAGAACCUGUCGCUCAAGGAGGGGUCCGCGUCCCAUCAGCCUGUUGGUAAGGUAAUGGCUUACCAAGGCAUACGGGUAGCCGGCCUGAGAGGGUGAUCGGCCACACUGGGACUGAGACACUGCCCAGACUCCUACGGGAGGCUGCAGUCGAGGAUCAUUCGCAAUGCGCGAAAGCGUGACGAUGCGACGCUGCGUGGAGGAUGAAGGCCUUAGGGUCGUAAACUCCUGUCAUGAGGGAAAAACGGCCAUAGGGUUAAUAGCCCUAAGGUGUGAUGGUACCUCAAGAGGAAGCCACGGCUAACUCUGUGCCAGCAGCCGCGGUAAUACAGAGGUGGCGAGCGUUGUUCGGAUUUACUGGGCGUAAAGGGUGCGUAGGUGGCAAUGUAUGUCGGAUGUGAAAUCUCGAGGCUCAACUUCGAAAUUGCAUCCGAAACUGCAUAGCUUGAGUACAGGAUGGGAGAGCGGAAUUCUUGGUGUAG
rnacentral:rRNA from 1 species